UGGCGAACGGGUGAGUAACACGUGGGUAAUCUGCCCUGCACUCUGGGAUAAGCCUGGGAAACUGGGUCUAAUACUGGAUAUGACCUUUCUCCUUAUGGGGUUUGGUGGAAAGUUUUUCGGUGUAGGAUGAGCCCGCGGCCUAUCAGCUUGUUGGUGGGGUGAUGGCCUACCAAGGCGACGACGGGUAGCCGGCCUGAGAGGGUGAUCGGCCACAUUGGGACUGAGAUACGGCCCAG
rnacentral:rRNA from 1 species